rnacentral:rRNA from 1 species
UACGGGGGGAGUAAGCGUUGUUCGGAUUUACUGGGCGUAAAGGGCGCGUAGGCGGUCAGCACAAGUCAGUUGUGAAAUCUCCGGGCUUAACUCGGAAAGGUCAACUGAUACUGUGCGACUAGAGUGCGGAAGGGGCAACUGGAAUUCCCGGUGUAGCGGUGAAAUGCGUAGAUAUCGAGAGGAACACCUGCGGCGAAGGCGGGUUGCUGGGCCGACACUGACGCUGAUGCGCGAAAGCCAGGGGAGCAAACGGG